AAAAAGUAUUAUUUGUGGAUCGCUUUGGUGUUGUGAAUUCAGUUCUCAAGUUGCUUUUAUAAGUUUGUGUAGAAGGAAGAGAAGGUAAAAAAAAAUCUAAAAUAAAAGUGCUUUGUUUACACUUUU